UUAAAGAUUAUCGCGCAUAUGAAUAUUUCCACGUACCGUUUCUGUUCAUGACUUUCUAUAUUUACACGAUGAAGGUUUUAAUAUUAAUAGCUCUAGUAGGUGUAUUGGGCUUUGGUGAUGCAUUUCGAUUGAGUGCCAAUCUUUGUCCAGAUGACAAGCCAAUGGUGUAUUGCUUCAUAGACCCGUGUAUGUUACCUAAAUGUACCAACCAUGAAGAUGCUAAAUGCUGGUCCGACUACUGUGGUGGGUGUAUUGCUGUCUGGAAACGACCUGAUGGAAGUGUUAUAGAUGAUUGCACAAACGAAAUGCAAU